ACGGGUGAGUAAUGCCUAGGAAUCUGCCUGGUAGUGGGGGACAACGUUUCGAAAGGAACGCUAAUACCGCAUACGUCCUACGGGAGAAAGCAGGGGACCUUCGGGCCUUGCGCUAUCAGAUGAGCCUAGGUCGGAUUAGCUAGUUGGUGAGGUAAUGGCUCACCAAGGCGACGAUCCGUAACUGGUCUGAGAGGAUGAUCAGUCACACUGGAACUGAGACACGGUCCAGACUCCUACGGGAGGCAGCAGUGGGGAAUAUUGGACAAUGGGCGAAAGCCUGAUCCAGCCAUGCCGCGUGUGUGAAGAAGGUCUUCGGAUUGUAAAGCACUUUAAGUUGGGAGGAAGGGUUGUAGAUUAAUACUCUGCAAUUUUGACGUUACCGACAGAAUAAGCACCGGCUAACUCUGUGCCAGCAGCCGCGGUAAUACAGAGGGUGCAAGCGUUAAUCGGAAUUACUGGGCGUAAAGCGCGCGUAGGUGGUUUGUUAAGUUGGAUGUGAAAUCCCCGGGCUCAACCUGGGAACUGCAUCCAAAACUGGCAAGCUAGAGUAUGGUAGAGGGGUGGUGGAAUUUCCUGUGUAGCGGU
rnacentral:rRNA from 1 species